rnacentral:rRNA from 1 species
AUUGAACGCUGGCGGCAGGCCUAACACAUGCAAGUCGAACGGUAACAGGAAGAAGCUUGCUUCUUUGCUGACGAGUGGCGGACGGGUGAGUAAUGUCUGGGAAACUGCCUGAUGGAGGGGGAUAACUACUGGAAACGGUAGCUAAUACCGCAUAACGUCGCAAGACCAAAGAGGGGGGACCUUCGGGCCUCUUGCCAUCGGAUGUGCCCAGAUGGGAUUAGCUAGUAGGUGGGGUAACGGCUCACCUAGGCGACGAUCCCUAGCUGGUCUGAGAGGAUGACCAGCCACACUGGAACUGAGACACGGUCCAGACUCCUACGGGAGGCAGCAGUGGGGAAUAUUGCACAAUGGGCGCAAGCCUGAUGCAGCCAUGCCGCGUGUAUGAAGAAGGGCCUUCGGGUUGUAAGUACUUUCAGCGGGGAGGAAGGAGUAAAGUUAA